UAAAGCUUUGCGCGGCGCCUAUUUCUUCUUCUCUGAACUCUUGAAAUGAAAAAAUCCCUCCCACUGUAUUGGUUUCUUAACAAUCCCUACAAUUCUUAAGAUGAUUUGAAAUUGUUGUUUCAUUCUUACAUCGGUGUAAGUUCUUAUAUACAAAUCCACAACAACCAAAACCUAAUUUUCAAGGUGGGGUUGGGGCUGGGGUGGUGGUGAUUAUGAAGAGGAUGUAGGUGGAGAUUGAGACGAUGCUCAUGGAUGGAUGAUGAGAUUCAAUUACAUCUUCUUCUACAGACGAAGAAAUAAACAAAUCUUUUUGUAAUUGACAGUGAAAUUGAGAUUUAAAUAGUGGAAUUGAUCGAAUUUUUUGUUGCUGGAUUUUGUGAAUGAAUGGCCUUGGAUUGAAGUGUAUUUAGACUCUUGAUACUGGUAGAAUAAAUGGGUUAUCCGUAAAUUCGAAUUGCAGGUCUCGAGCUUGCCAUUUCGAAACACCAUCAUAAAUAAUAGUGUUGCACCUGGGAGGGAAGCACUUUACCGCGAAUAUGAAGAUUUGGAAAGUGGAAACUAAAUACUCUGAUACGUAUUUCACUACUCGACCAACUUAAUAUAUAUACAUGCGUGUAGUAUAUAGUACUCAUACUUGAAAAUUUCCCACAUUUUUCCUAAUCUCACAAUUUUGGUGACGUACUUUGUGGACGUAGAAAACCAUCACUAAAGCCAGAGCUCGUUGAAGAAAGCUCUGACUAUUGAUUUGUCUCGGUAAUGACUCACUACAAUGGGUCGAUUUAACUCGGUUGCAUCAAAACGAUUCGAGGGCUUAUUUGUCUUUUACAAGGCUGACUAAUUGCCACAUUUACACUAACGGAUGUUAACUAUUUAAAGAAAAAAACAGGAUGGAAAAGGUCAAAUGUGUGGCAUUAAAUAAAUUCUGAAAAAAACAGUGGCACUUUCAUAAACAUGAAAUUGGAAGUGUGACACUUUAUUAAAAUCCCCUUUUUUCUUUUAACAAGCUGAAAAUGUUGGAUUGCUUUGUAUGAUUAGGUUGGAACUUCGACUCCCAAUUUAUAGGUCGAAUGGUAGUUAAUACAUGGCAUAUGUUCAAGACAUUUAAUGUGCCACAUAAUAUGAUCAUGCUACAAGCAGAAUCAAAAUUCUGAUAUCAUGAUAUUUUCCAUUCAAUGGCAUUCAUUUUUGUUAUUACGGCGAUCUGCGAGUAUAACGGUAAAGUAUGGCAUGAACAAUCUGUCUAUUAGUACAAAAAUGGCAAGGUCAAGUAAAUCGGGUUGACUUGACUUUAUAGACAGCUUUUGAAAAUUUAGUGACGUUUAGUAAAUGGCGUCACAUAUCAAGAUUUGUCACAUCAUCAUACCUUAAUUAUUAAGUCAAAACACAUACCAUGUGGAAUCCUGAUCUCUCUGACUGUUCCAGAUUUUCCAACGUGAAAACAAAAACCAAAAAUAAUUUCAUCUCUGGCCGGAGGCAUCUUAUCG